rnacentral:rRNA from 1 species
CUAAUCCUGGUCGGACAUCAGGAGGUUAGUGCAAUGGCAUAAGCCAGCUUGACUGCGAGCGUGACGGCGCGAGCAGGUGCGAAAGCAGGUCAUAGUGAUCCGGUGGUUCUGAAUGGAAGGGCCAUCGCUCAACGGAUAAAAGGUACUCCGGGGAUAACAGGCUGAUACCGCCCAAGAGUUCAUAUCGACGGCGGUGUUUGGCACCUCGAUGUCGGCUCAUCACAUCCUGGGGCUGAAGUAGGUCCCAAGGGUAUGGCUGUUCGCCAUUUAAAGUGGUACGCGAGCUGGGUUUAGAACGUCGUGAGACAGUUCGGUCCCUAUCUGCCGUGGGCGCUGGAGAACUGAGGGGGGCUGCUCCUAGUACGAGAGGACCGGAGUGGACGCAUCACUGGUGUUCGGGUUGUCAUGCCAAUGGCACUGCC